UACGGAGGGUGCAAGCGUUAAUCGGAUUUACUGGGCGUAAAGGGCGGGUAGGCGGCCACUGCAAGUCGGUUGUGAAAUCUCCGGGCUUAACCCGGAAAGGUCAAUCGAUACUGCAGGGCUAGAGUGCAGAAGGGGCAACUGGAAUUCUCGGUGUAGCGGUGAAAUGCGUAGAUAUCGAGAGGAACACCUGCGGCGAAGGCGGGUUGCUGGGCUGACACUGACGCUGAACUGCGAAAGCUAGGGGAGCGAACGGG
rnacentral:rRNA from 1 species